ensembl:lncRNA
CAAGUACGUAUAUACUUUAUUACAUAGUACAAAACACCAUCUUAAAUGCAAGUUGUAAAAAUUCAGUAACAGGAACUAAGAAAACAUGAAAAAUUAUUCUAAGUUUUUGCCUUGUAAACCAAGGGAGUGAAUCCACCCUCCAGGCCAGUGAUCAAAUCUGCACCUCUGCAGCAAUGCUAGUUCUCUGAGGUCACUGCCACAAGGCCCUGGAUUAAGUCAUCUAUAGUCUGUAAUGCUGGUUUAUCUGGGCAGCAACAAUAAAGAUAUUGACUGAUUAGAGCAUCUUACUAGAGACUGGUAAGGAAACUGGGGCAGCAAAGAUCCAAGUUCCUAAAUAAACUCUUGUUGACUCAAUAUUCUUAUGAGGAGGAACAUGAUUUAACUAGCUCCUUAACUAAAAUGCUAAUGUUAACACAAAAACAUCUGAAAUACUUUUCCUUGCAUUAUUUUCUUUAAACGUUUAAAGUGAAACCAUUUUCAUCUAUUCUGUAUAACAAUACAUAACACUGAUCUCUUAUGAUGCAGCAGGUUAAGGAUCCGGAGUUGUCCUUGUAGUGGCUUGGUUUUGAUCCUGGCCCAGGAACUUCCACCUGCCAUGGCAAUAAGAAAAAAAACAAAGAGUAACAUUGAGCUCUAGCUCCCUGUUGACAGUGUAACUCCCAGCCUGCAGGUAACCUACUUGUUACUCAAAUGAGCUCAGCUUGAAAUAAGAGAAAUGCUCCCAUGUUUAGCUGCUCAUUCGGAGCUAACGAUUUGCUAGGAUCCUCCCAAUAAACUAGCCCCAUGCUCUCUACUUUGUCACACUCGACUCUAAAGGUUUCACUCUGCUUAAAUCAUUGUACCUAUAGAGCUGAUGAAAAAUGAGGAAGCUCAGCUCAUUUUUGUUCCUCCAAGACCAAUGAAAAAAAUUGUAGGACUGCCCUGAAUAUCCACCCAAGUGGUGGUUCCAGUGAAACUCUGUUUUGGUUUGGCCUCUCUCUACAGGAUCAUCAACCACAACAGCUAGGAUUUUUUUCCCUCCGGAGCAAGCUUUCUUUCAGAAUGAGUCUUGACUGUCUAAAUUUAGCUUUUCAGCUAUUUUUUUACAGUUAAAUUGGCUAUCUGAGCAAACCAAAUUCCUGACUCCCUCCACAUUGUCAUAUGUCCUGUGGGUGACUAGAAAGCCACUUCUUGCAUCAUUGUGGGGGUCAGCUCUGCCUUCUUUAAACUUUUUUUUUUUUUUUUUUGCUUCUUAGGGCCACACUCCAGGCACAUGGAAGUCCCCAGGAUCCCUAGGCUAGAGGUCAAAUCAGAGCUGGAGCUGCAGCUGCCAGCCUAUGCUUCAGCAUCUAGGGAUCUGAGCCCUGUCUUGAGACUUACACACCACAGCUUACAGCAAACGCCGGAUCCUUAACCCACUAAGCGAGGUUUUCCAGUGAUUGGUUGUGAUCUUAGAUUGUAUCUGUUGAGCUCUUUGCUUUUCGUUUUUAUGGUAGAGAAACAUGCAUUACAUAAAUCUUUUAGCCAUUAUGAGUGUACAAUUCAGUGGUGUUAAUUACACGCACAAAGUUGUGCAACUAUUAUUUCCAGAAUAUUUCCAUCAUCUCAAACAAAUUCUGUACCUAUUAUAUAGUACCUCCCCAUUCUCUCCUCUCCCUAGCCCCUGGUAAUCCCUAAGAGUCUCUGAAUUUAACUACACUACCUCCUAAGAGUGGAAUCAUGUCGUUGUACCUGGCUUAUUUCACUUACGUUUUCAAGGCUCACCCAUGUUGUAGCAGUCAUUAUUCAUUCCUUUUUAAGGCUGAAUAAUCCAGUGUGUGUGUGUGUAUAAAUGCAAUGUUAUGCAUAUAUAUAUAUAAAAAACAUACAUAUACAAAAUGUGGCAUAUAUAUAUAUGUCAUCUCUAGAUGGACAUUUGGGUUGUCACCUUUUGGCUGUUGGGAAUAUUGUUGCUAUGAACAUGGGUGUACAAGUAUCUGUUUGAGUCCCUGCUUUCAAUUCUUUUGGGUAUCUAUACCCAAGAAGCAAAAUUGCUGGAUCAUCUGGUAACUCUGUAAUUUUUGGAGGAGCAGUCAGACUGUUCUCCACAGCAACGAUACCAUUUUACAUUCCCACCAGGGAUGCACCAGGUUCCAAUUUCUCCACAUCCUUGCCAACACUUUUUAUUUUCUAACAUCUUUCACAAUGGCCUGUGAUGAUUCAGUCCCCUACAAGGUAUUUUCUUCCCAAAUCCCCUCUGCCUCCCCUCGCCUCCCCUCUCCUCCCCCUCUUCUUGAUGUGCUUUUGCUUCAGUGAAAAUAGACUCAGGCUCAAGACUUUUCCUUUGUAUCAAAUACUUAAGGUAACUUUGUGGUUUGCCAAGUGCAAGAAUUCAGUGCAUACUUACAUGUUCCUUUACUGGAGGAAUCUGCAUUACCUUUUUAGGCGGCGAAUAGGGCUGCUUUCUGCAUUAAGAAACGAACUUCACAAUGUAGAUGUGACCCUGAUCUCAGAGAGACAUCAGUGAACCAAGGCUUGAAGCGAGCUCUUAAGUCUCUGCUCAGGAAUUGAACCUGGGCAGCCUGGGUGAAAACCAGGAAUCUUAGCCACUAGAUCAGCUAGCUAGAGGCUAGAAGCAGAAUUGCCUGGAUUCUUGCCCCCCUGUUGAAAGCAAGAAUGUAAAAGCAGAUACAAAGUUUAUUGUUAGAAACUCAAUACAACACGUGGGAGAGCGCACAGAGAAGUAGUCUAUUUAUCUAAGGCCAAAGUAAAGCAGUCAUACACACCGAAAGGUGUGUGGUGCGGGCAUCCCCCUGAAUAAGGAGCGUGCCAGAGGGGUGAUUUAAAUCACAUAUAUGGGACAGUUCUUCCAAGUCUUUGUUUUCCUUUGGCCAAUUAUCUUGUUUUAUUUUUCACACCUGACAAGACCCAGGGCCCCACCUGAUCUGCGGGUGGAUCUUUUGGCCAAGAUGGGUAUCAGAACAAGGGCUUAUGGGAAGGUUAGCUAGACUUACUACGGCCUGGUGCUGCACAUCCCCCCCGCCCCCUUCUAACCCAGAGGGGUCUUUCUGCUUAUGUACAGUUUGGGUCUUCCUGAACCCAGAAUGGUAAGUAUGUGUCAUCACCACUGUUUAACAAGUUCACAUAAGAUAAGUGAACUAAUUAUUUGCUUUUUGCUUGUUGCUAUUUCUAUCAUGGAAGUAUAAGUAGGUGGCUGGAUGUAAAUGUUUAUCUGAGAGCUCACCUAUGUCCCGCCUCAGGAAGUAUAAAUAGGAGGCUGGUUGUUAAGGUCUGUCCCAGAGCCCAUCUAUCUCCUGCCUCAAUCCUGCCCUCCCUUAAACUAUCUGUACAUCAGCUUAAUAAGGGCGAGCUCGAAACAGGCUGGGAUAAGAACCCACCAUUUAAGCAAGGCUUGCCCACAAUUUCUAAUUCAAAUGUCCCAAGGUUUCAAACCGUUCAACACAGAUGGAGGAGCGUCAGGGCCUACCAGGUGGCGCUUUACUACCUUGGGUUUCUUCUGCCAAGCGGCAGCAGAGCCACACUCCUGGUGAACCUCCGCUCCACGAGGAGAAAACUGGGAACGCCAGGUAAAGCCCGAAUUCUGUCAGCUGAGACCCCACUGCCCCAGCCGCGCCUCACCUGGGCCUCCGCGUUCAGACAGGCAGCUCCCAGCCUGCGGCGUCAAACGCCCUGGCCACGCUCGCUGCCCCUCGACGAUCCUCCACUCACCGUUCCGCAGGGGAUGGAAACCACAAGCUGCUAGAGAGGCGCAAACAGCCUGGGGCAGC